GGGCAAUUAACUCAACGGCUAGAGUAUCUCGCUUACAACGAGAAGGUUAGUGGUUCGAAUCCGCUAUUGCCUA
rnacentral:tRNA from 2 species